rnacentral:rRNA from 1 species
GACGAACGCUGGCGGCGUGCUUAACACAUGCAAGUCGAGCGGAAAGGCCUUUCGGGGUACUUGAGCGGCGAACGGGUGAGUAACACGUGAGUAAUCUGCCCUGUGCUCUGGGAUAGCCACCGGAAACGGUGAUUAAUACCGGAUAUGACCAGCCUACGCAUGUGGUGUUGGUGGAAAGUUUUUUCGGCGCAGGAUGUGCUCGCGGCCUAUCAGCUUGUUGGUGAGGUAAUGGCUCACCAAGGCUUUGACGGGUAGCCGGCCGGAGAGGGUGACCGGUCACACUGGGACUGAGACACGGCCCAGACUCCUACGGGAGGCAGCAGUGGGGAAUAUUGGACAAUGGGCGGAAGCCUGAUCCAGCAACGCCGCGUGAGGGAUGACGGCCUUCGGGUUGUAAACCUCUUUCAGUACCGACGAAGCGCAAGUGACGGUAGGUACAGAAGAAGGACCGGCCAACUACGUGCCAGCCGCCGCCGUAACAC